rnacentral:rRNA from 1 species
GUAAAGCGUGCGUAGGCGGCUUUUAAGUCGGAUGUGAAAUCCCUGAGCUUAACUUAGGAAUUGCAUUCGAUACUGGGAAGCUAGAGUAUGGGAGAGGAUGGUAGAAUUCCAGGUGUAGCGGUGAAAUGCGUAGAGAUCUGGAGGAAUACCGAUGGCGAAGGCAGCCAUCUGGCCUAAUACUGACGCUGAGGUACGAAAGCAUGGGGAGCAAACAGGAUUAGAUACCCUGGUAGUCCAUGCCGUAAACGAUGUCUACUAGCCGUUGGGGCCUUUGAGGCUUUAGUGGCGCAGCUAACGCGAUAAGUAGACCGCCUGGGGAGUACGGUCGCAAGACUAAAACUCAAAUGAAUUGACGGGGGCCCGCACAAGCGGUGGAGCAUGUGGUUUAAUUCGAUGCAACGCGAAGAACCUUACCUGGUCUUGACAUAGUAAGAACUUUCCAGAGAUGGAUUGGUGCCUUCGGGAACUUACAUACAGGUGCUGCAUGGCUGUCGUCAGCUCGUGUCGUGAGAUGUUGGGUUAAGUCCCGCAACGAGCGCAACCCUUUUCCUUAUUUGCCAGCGGGUUAAGCCGGGAACUUUAAGGAUACUGCCAGUGACAAACUGGAGGAAGGCGGGGACGACGUCAAGUCAUCAUGGCCCUUACGACCAGGGCUACACACGUGCUACAAUGGUCGGUACAAAGGGUUGCUACCUAGCGAUAGGAUGCUAAUCUCAAAAAGCCGAUCGUAGUCCGGAUUGGAGUCUGCAGCUCGACUCCAUGAAGUCGGAAUCGCUAGUAAUCG